GUGGGGAAUAUUGCACAAUGGGCGCAAGCCUGAUGCAGCAACGCCGCGUGGGGGAUGACGGCCUUCGGGUUGUAAACCCCUUUUAGCAGGGAAGAAGCGAAAGUGACGGUACCUGCAGAAAAAGCGCCGGCUAACUACGUGCCAGCAGCCGCGGUAAUACGUAGGGCGCAAGCGUUGUCCGAAAUUAUUGGGCGUAAAGAGCUCGUAGGCGGUUUGUCGCGCCUGCUGUGAAAACCCGAGGCUCAACCUCGGGCCUGCAGUGGGUACGGGCAGACUAGAGUGCGGUAGGGGAGACUGGAACUCCUGGUGUAGCGGUGGAAUGCGCAGAUAUCAGGAAGAACACCAAUGGCGAAGGCAGGUCUCUGGGCCGUAACUGACGCUGAGGAGCGAAAGCAUGGGGAGCGAACAGGAUUAGAAACCCCUGUAGUCC
rnacentral:rRNA from 1 species